UGAAAAGAGUUAAAUAGAUUGUAGUAUUUCCUUCUUGUACUCAAAACAAGAUGUACUUAUUUCUGAGCAUACUCUCCAGAACAAGAUUUUUGAGCUCAUCUAUUGCACACUUGUAAUUGUAAUUUAUUUGCUAACGAUAUCCUGCAGGAUAACAUGUUAGUUUACACUUUGUAUAAGGGCAAGGAAAGGCACUUUGCACCAAAUUUCCCCCCUGUGCAAAUCAUAACUGCACACAAAAUAUUUGCACACUGAAACCAUACCCCUUGCAAUCUGCAAUACCAGUCGAAACAUUUUUUAAACAAAUUUCAAAUUUGAAUAAAUUUGAUUAGAUUUUAAAGGCUCAGUUACCACCAACAUUAACUAAGCGUCGAAAACUCUAGAUUCCAUUCGAAUAAACUGAUUGAGCCAAGAAUAUUUUUUAAAGAUUUGGACACGAAUAAUUUGCGAAUAAUUGAAAAGCUAUUUUAUUAAGUAGAAUUAAAAGUUUAUUUAAAGUAAAACAGUUGUUAAAUUUGUAACUAUCUUUAUUUUUAUCGAAAAUUAGACCAUUGCAAUUUUUUUCAAAACAUAUGUCACAUUUUAUACUUUUUUGCAAACAAAAAUCAUGAUUUGCUGCAAAUGUUGCUCCAGAAACGAAGUGAAUGUUAAUAUCUCGCUUACUUUUCAAAAAGUCCUAUGUAAAUAGGAAACCCAUGGCGCCUUGAUUAUUUUUAAAAAGUACUCUAGAUUAAGGUAGUAAUUCAAGCAAAACAAUGUAAAUAGGUCGAAGCCGAAGUGUAAACAAACAGUCUGUCCGGCUUACGUCAGUGGAUGUUUACAUAAGGAACGAGCAAGACAGACUCUUUGUUUACACUUCGGCUUUGGGCCAUUUACAUUGUUUUGCUUGAAUUUGAUAAUGAUUAUUUAAAUUAAAUUAAAUUUUGACCAUCUUGGUUUAUUUCGAUUACUUCAACAUAAAUCGGUUUUAUUUCGGAAGCGUGUAAUCUAGUACCUCUUAAAAAAAGUUCUAUUUACUGCUUUUAACUAUUUCUCUUGCACCGUGUAAAUAUUUUUGUUUUGAUUUCAUGCACGCGCUCGUCUUUUCUGCUUCUGUCAUUCGAUUGAUGCAAAAAAAAAAAUUGUUGGGAUACUCGCAGCAGUAAGUUCGGUUUUUCGCAAGUUAUACCGUGUAAAUUACUGUACGACUUUUGGACCGCCGCCGGAUUGCUGGCCACGAGAUGUUUGGUGCGCUUCCUUCGAGCCUGUCGGCGAAUUAGAAGCUGCUCCAAUUCACCACCAAUCGAUUCCGCCGAAAACCUUGCUGGCUGGGCACGGCCAAUAGCAAACUGUUCCGCGUCCCGGAAUGGCGCCAUCAGAUCGAGGACUGGUUUCCCGCGCCUGUGUGGUCAUUCAAACGCCAAACGGCCGAAGUCGAACGGGAGGAGGAGGUCCAGUGGAUCAACGAGAAGUGAACUGAAAGGCAUCGGAGAUGCGCGAGAAACGACUGGCCGAGAAAUGCGACCAAAGGAAGACGUAUAUCCAGAACGGUUGGUGGCCAAAGAGUCACGGGACCAGGAACGGCAAAGCAGAUCUAGGCUCGUGUCCAAGCAGAGAAAAACAGGGCAAAACAUUCAUUUCGCGGGACAUCAACAAGCGGUUGCUGGUAUAAGUGCUUAGCUACUAGUUUGCCAUCGACUCCAACGGAACCAUCACCGCCAGGACACUUUGAUAACGCCUCAACAUUCAUUGUUCUGCGUGCAUCGAGUGAGUCGUUCGUGGAAAAUUUCUCCGAGCCAGCCAACAACUCUUCUGUUUCGUUAUGCGUUUCACCAGAACUGCCACGGACCAUGCGAAUCGACGAAAAGCGGCUGCGGUCCAAUCUGAUCCGGAGUCUGCAUGCAGUGCACUCGACGAUGUCCUGGUACAAGAUUCUGACGAGAAUGCCCGUGCUGCCGCUGCAUAGGGUCGACGAACUUUGCUGACUCGCACGGAUACACUGCCGUCAGCAUUCAAUAAGGAGUUCGAGAACCACGUCGCGUGAAUGGCAUAGCUGAGCAGAAGCAGUUCAACCUUGGAAGCAGUGUGGGCUCAUCCAGACCGCUAGCCUCCAGUAUCAGCCGACGGAUGCUAUUCUAUGCCAAUGAUCAUCAGCUGACUGCCUUCCGCUAGGUAUGUACAUUCCGUAUAGUAAACAUCACCUCCCUUUUAGAACAAUAACACUCGUGGGCCCCAAAUUACUUUUUGCUAAACACUUUUGUACAUUGCUUCGUUGAAUCUAUAGUCUGGUGUAGUUUUGAAUCCUUUGUUUAU